rnacentral:rRNA from 1 species
CAGUCGCCGCGGGAAUACGUAGGGUGCGAGCGUUAAUCGGAAUUACUGGGCGUAAAGCGUGCGCAGGCGGUUCGUUAAGACAGAUGUGAAAUCCCCGGGCUUAACCUGGGAACUGCAUUUGUGACUGGCGAGCUAGAGUAUGGCAGAGGGGGGUAGAAUUCCACGUGUAGCAGUGAAAUGCGUAGAGAUGUGGAGGAAUGCCGAUGGCGAAGGCAGCCCCCUGGGCCAAUACUGACGCUCAUGCACGAAAGCGUGGGGAGCAAACAGGAUUAGAGACCCCUGUAGUCCCUGUCUCUUAUAC